rnacentral:rRNA from 1 species
GCCUCCCUCUUUCUUCGUGCUUAACACAUGCAAGUCGAACGGAAAGGCCCUGCUUUUGUGGGGUGCUCGAGUGGCGAAGGGGUGAGUAACACGUGAGUAACCUGCCCUUGACUUUGGGAUAACUUCAGGAAACUGGGGCUAAUACCGGAUAGGAGCUCCUGCUGCAUGGUGGGGGUUGGAAAGUUUCGGCGGUUGGGGAUGGACUCGCGGCUUAUCAGCUUGUUGGUGGGGUAGUGGCUUACCAGGGCUUUGACGGGUAGCCGGCCUGAGAGGGGGACCGGCCACAUUGGGACUGAGAGACGGCCCAGACUCCUACGGGAGGCAGCAGUGGGGAAUAUUGCACAAUGGGCGGAAGCCUGAUGCAGCAACGCCGCGUGCGGGAUGACGGCCUUCGAGUUGUAAACCGCUUUCGCCUGUGACGAAGCGGGAGUGACGGUAAUGGGUAAAGAAGCACCGGCUAACUACGUG